AUGCAAGUCGCACGAGAAAGGGGCAACCUGAGUAAAGUGGCGUACGGGUGAGUAACACGUGGAUUAUCUACCUUUUGGUGGGGAAUAACUCUGGGAAACCGGAGCUAAUACCGCAUAAGCCUGAGAAGGGAAAGCCUUACGGCGCCGAGAGAGGAGUCCGCGGCCGAUUAGCUAGUUGGUAGGGUAAUAGCCUACCAAGGCAAUGAUCGGUAGCCGGCCUGAGAGGGCACACGGCCACACUGGCACUGAAACACGGGCCAGACUCCUACGGGAGGCAGCAGUGGGGAAUCUUGCACAAUGGGGGAAACCCUGAUGCAGCGACGCCGCGUGAGCGAUGAAGCCCUUCGGGGUGUAAAGCUCUUUCGGCAGGAACGAUAAUGACGGUACCUGAAGAAGAAGCUGCGGCUAGCUACGUGCCAGCAGCCGCGGUAAUACGUAGGCAGCAAGCGUGGUUCGGAGUUACUGGGCGUAAAGAGUGUGUA
rnacentral:rRNA from 1 species